UUUUACUUCACCCUUCUAUGCCUUGCCGUGUUUUAGACCAACCCAGUUGUUUAGGUUUUUUUGACCGCCGGGGGCGGAAGCUCAAAAAAAAAAAAAGGGCCGGGGGGGGGGAAAAAAAUUGUUGUCUCCCCGCCCCUGAUCCGGGUGACCCCCCGGCAGAAUCCCCCCGGCCACGAUGGUAACUUCUUCCGUAGGUGGACCUGCGGAGGGAUCAUUACCGAGUUUACAACUCCCAAACCCAAUGUGAACGUUACCAAUCUGUUGCCUCGGCGGGAUUCUCUGCCCCGGGCGCGUCGCAGCCCCGGAUCCCAUGGCGCCCGCCGGAGGACCAACUCAAACUCUUUUUUCUCUCCGUCGCGGCCUACGUCGCGGCUCUGUUUUAUUUUUGCUCUGAGCCUUUCUCGGCGACCCUAGCGGGCGUCUCGAAAAUGAAUCAAAACUUUCAACAACGGAUCUCUUGGUUCUGGCAUCGAUGAAGAACGCAGCGAAAUGCGAUAAGUAAUGUGAAUUGCAGAAUUCAGUGAAUCAUCGAAUCUUUGAACGCACAUUGCGCCCGCCAGUAUUCUGGCGGGCAUGCCUGUCCGAGCGUCAUUUCAACCCUCGAACCCCUCCGGGGGGUCGGCGUUGGGGAUCGGCCCCUCACCGGGCCGCCCCCGAAAUACAGUGGCGGUCUCGCCGCAGCCUCUCCUGCGCAGUAGUUUGCACACUCGCACCGGGAGCGCGGCGCGGCCACAGCCGUAAAACACCCCAAACUCUGAAAUGUUGACCUCGGAUCAGGUAGGAAUACCCGCUGAACUUAAGCAUAUCAAAAGGCGGGGAGGAA
rnacentral:rRNA from 1 species